CUUCAGGGAGCCCAGCAUCAGAGGCCGGUCCUCGCGCUCCUUGCCGUACGUGGCGAGGAGGGCCUGUGCCUC
rnacentral:antisense_RNA from 1 species